UACGUAGGGUGCAAGCGUUGUCCGGAAUUAUUGGGCGUAAAGAGCUCGUAGGCGGUUUGUCGCGUCUGCUGUGAAAACCCGAGGCUCAACCUCGGGCCUGCAGUGGGUACGGGCAGACUAGAGUGCGGUAGGGGAGAUUGGAAUUCCUGGUGUAGCGGUGGAAUGCGCAGAUAUCAGGAGGAACACCGAUGGCGAAGGCAGAUCUCUGGGCCGUAACUGACGCUGAGGAGCGAAAGCAUGGGGGAGCGAACAGG
rnacentral:rRNA from 1 species